rnacentral:rRNA from 1 species
AACGGAAAGGCCCUGCUUGCAGGGUACUCGAGUGGCGAACGGGUGAGUAACACGUGGGUGAUCUGCCCUGCACUUCGGGAUAAGCUUGGGAAACUGGGUCUAAUACCGGAUAGGAACCAUCUUUAGUGUGGUGGUUGGAAAGUUUUUUCGGUGUAGGAUGAGCUCGCGGCCUAUCAGCUUGUUGGUGGGGUAAUGGCCUACCAAGGCGGCGACGGGUAGCCGGCCUGAGAGGGUGUACGGCCACAUUGGGACUGAGAUACGGCCCAGACUCCUACGGGAGGCAGCAGUGGGGAAUAUUGCACAAUGGGCGCAAGCCUGAUGCAGCGACGCCGCGUGGGGGAUGAAGGCCUUCGGGUUGUAAACUCCUUUCGCUAGGGACGAAGCUUUUUGUGACGGUACCUAGAUAAGAAGCACCGGCCAACUACGUGCCAGCAGCCGCGGUAAUACGUAGGGUGCGAGCGUUGUCCGGAAUUACUGGGCGUAAAGGGCUCGUAGGUGGUUUGUCGCGUCGUCUGUGAAAUUCUGGGGCUUAACUCCGGGCGUGCAGGCGAUACGGGCAUAACUUGAGUGCUGUAGGGGUAACUGGAAUUCCUGGUGUAGCGGUGAAAUGCGCAGAUAUCAGGAGGAACACCGAUGGCGAAGGCAGGUUACUGGGCAGUUACUGACGCUGAGGAGCGAAAGCA